rnacentral:lncRNA from 1 species
GAUGUUUACAUUUGCAAAAACUGCCUCAAGACUGCCGAUCAUCGGCCGGACAACUGGAACUUUCCAUUUUGAUUCUCGGGGGUUUCUCUGAAAGCCACAACAGGAUAUAAACACACAGAGUGUCUUGGGAAGGGCAUUGCUUAUUUUGUAUGCUUCUGGGUUGAUUUUGGAAGUGAUCUGUGACCCAGAAAUGCAAAGGACAGUGUGGGCUGCCUUUCAUCAGGGAAUUCACCAUCUUCUCUUGGAGCUGUUGGGCUGUACCCACCAGGAAUGUUUUUGAAGUGGUAUCCUUAUUAAAAAUCUCAAACCCAGAAGACGCCAUAGGAGUAGAACAUUGCAAAUCACUCCUGUUUACUUAGGCUGGGCAAUACCACUGUGCUGGCAGGGGCUCUAUUUUUUCAGUUUGGAGUUGAUCCCUUGAAACCAGAGCUAGCUUCUUCAGAUGUGCAAUCAGCAAGUGAUUUGGUUUGGAAGGCAUGUGAUGUACAGGCUGAGAGUUAUAUGACAUAGGGUCUCCAGUGAAGUGCUGAUCGGCGGCUGCAACGGUUUGCACUGAAGGAAGCAGUGUUCAAUUGUUAGGAUUAUUUUAACUAGGUUAAAAGAUAUACAAAGGACUACAUUCCCAAGACAGCACUUACAAGACAGCAUGAAGGAGUGUUAGCUUACAACAUCUCUUUCUUUGCUUGGCUGUCCCCGCUUUGGAAGACUCUG